AUUCCGUAGGUGAACCUGCGGAGGGAUCAUUACAGAGUUCAUGCCCUACCGGGUAGAUCUCCCACCCUAUGUUAUUAUUACUUUGUUGCUUUGGCGGGCCGUUAGGCUCCGGCCCGACUACCGGCCCCGGCUGGUAAGCGCCCGCCAGAGGACCCAAAACCCUGAAUAUUAGUGUCGUCUGAGCACUAUAUAAUAGUUAAAACUUUCAACAACGGAUCUCUUGGUUCUG
rnacentral:misc_RNA from 1 species